GGGGGGCAGCAGUGAGGAAUAUUGGUCAAUGGUCGGGAGACUGAACCAGCCAAGCCGCGUGAGGGAUGAAGGUACAGAGUAUCGUAAACCUCUUUUGUCAGGGAACAAAGGCGGGGACGUGUCCCCGGAUGAGUGUACCUGAAGAAAAAGCAUCGGCUAACUCCGUGCCAGCAGCCGCGGUAAUACGGAGGAUGCGAGCGUUAUCCGGAUUUAUUGGGUUUAAAGGGGGCGUAGGCGGGGCCUUAAGUCAGCGGGAAAAUUGCGGGGGUCAACGCCGUAGAGCCGUUUAAACUGGGGGUCUUGGG
rnacentral:rRNA from 1 species